AGCACUACAGCUCAGUCCCCAUGAUGUACCCAGUCCUCAUUUCCUUUUGUAUUUCUUUAAUAGAAAAAUAACAGGAGAAGUAAUUACUGGCCACGUAAAGUUUAAGUUCAUACAAUAUUUCCUAUGAGGCUUCAAGCAACUCCUUGUAAAAGCAGAUAAGUUAAUCUAUCUUUUGGUUUGGGUCACAGUAGGUUUUCAGCUUUAAAUCACCGUGGCAUGGUAACUAAUGGCAUUUACCAUAGAAAUGAUGUUGAAAAAACAAGGAACCUGACCAAUUAUUAGGUGUAUAUUUCCAGUGAAAACAACCCACAUACAGGCAGUGUCAGUAAAAAAGGAUGAUUGAUCAUCUGGACUUUGUUCCCUUGCAUUUUCCUCUCCUCUUUUUCUACAAUGCAAUAUUAACUCUAGGGCAAUUACUGUAAUAAAAUCUGCCAGCAGACUUUUCAGCAUGAGGAGUUCUGGCACCACCAGGAGGGGCUCAGCAGGGCAUUUUACCCCUGGAGGCUGAAACUGCACAGCAAGAGGAGCGUGGUCCUUCCCAUCAUUCAGCUUUCAGAAAGACCAAGGCAUUCUAGGAUCAGAAAUCACUAAAGGCCCGGGCAUUCAGUGUGCUAUGCACCAACUCUCUCAAAGCAUUUGAGGCAAAGAAGGAGGUGACAGCAUGAGAAAGUCUGGAUGAAGGAGAUCAAACCAGUAAGGAAGCCAGUUCCAUUCCUUUAUGAAGAGACAUCCUGAAGUCACUUGCUGUAGUCAAACAUUCCUGCAAUGGCAAGUGCUGUGUAUCUGAGGAGACUUGUGGUAUGCUGUCCCUGCAAUGGAGUAUUUUGGACUGACUGUGUUCCUGUUGGAUGUGUAACUAUUGGACUACUGAUACCUCCUUGAAUUCUUAAUUUACAAAAUUAUCACUCAAAGCAGAACGGAUGUGCAAAGCAGCUGAAGAGUAGAAUGGAGAAGGUUUGCAUCCUGGACUGGUCAAAAUGUGGCUGCUCUAUCCUACAUGGGCAAGGGUAAAGAGUAGCCCUGAGAUACUUUAGAAGAAACAGCAUGAUCUGGUGAUGGGAUGCAGAGGUCUGAAGUUUCCCUUUGUCUGUCAAGCAUGUGCUCUUCAGGUUUGGUGCAGACUUGUCUUCUGCUUGUCUUCUGCUGGAGCUGGACCCUGCAGCUACCCUGACAGCAUCUGGACGCAAACUGCUCAAGCAGCAAGUCUCCCAGCUCAGCAGCACCACAAGCCAGAUAAACAGUGUCUGCCCAGCUAUAUCCAGCCCUGAAGGAUUGAAGCUCCCAGUGUCUGCCACGUAUCAAACAUGGAGAAUGUGGCCGUGGCAGACCAGGCCACAGCAGCUUCCAUGUGUGGGUGCUUCCUGCAAGUGCUUCUCAAUAGCAGUCUGAAUUCAGCUGUUCACAAACACAAAGUUGUGAUCACGUGUUACCUGUGAACUUUCCCUACGUUUUUUCAACUCCAAGGAAAAAAAUUGCAAGGCUUCAGCAAUGAGCCACCUUCUUGGGAGACACAACUUGUGGUGGAGCUUCUAUCAACAUACUCUGAAUGGUGGGCUCAGAAGUUGCACUUCUCCAAAUGCACCAGUACCAAAUACAAAGGUCGUGGAAUCACUCAGUGUUACUGAUGAAAUCACACUGUAAAGUCACAGAACUGUUGUCUGGAGGGACCAUUUUUGGACACAUGCUACAACCACUGGUUGUCCUACAGGGUAAGGCAGACUUAAGUUCCUUUCACAGUCCUGCCCCGGCUCCUGCCACCCUCACAGAUGGCUGAAGGCUGUAGAAUGGAGUACUCAGAGGACUGUGGUGUCUCUAUGACUCCUCAGUUUUUGUUAGUCAUGAAGGGCACAGACAUGCAGCACCGAGCCUCUCUGCUGGGCUGCAAAAGGAAGAGCUUGAUUCAAUGCUAACACUUAAGCAAAUAGUGUGCUGACCCACCAAUUAAUAGAGCAGCCCUUCUUGCUUAUUUUUUUCCCCGCAUUUAAACUGCAGCACAUUCUGCUUGUGUAAAAAGACUGCUGUUUGGAGUGUGCUGGAAUCAGGUGGUGAGCAUACCAACAGCCAGACAGGAUACUGUGCUUCCUGUGAGAGUAAACACUGAAAGUCAUGCAAAGCAUCUUUCAUUUUGGCUUGGCUGCAACCACCAGUACAGCCGCUGGAAAGGAAGGGACUUCACAGAGACAGAGAGAUUAUUCUCUUCUGGCUUGGAGGCUACCUGGCCUUUUAAUCAUAAUUGAAAGCCUGUAUUUUUUAAGAUUGCUUGCUUUGUUGGCAGAAUGCACACCUACAAGCCUCCAUUUUCUGGGAGCUUGCUCAGAGGUCUGCCACAUAGGAAUACAACUAGUGUGUGGAUGCUCGGCAUCUCUUAAGUUUGUGGGUAAGACUGCAGCUUGGGAGGAUUGAAGGAGCUCUUGGACUUACCCCAAGUCUGUGUUCAAACAUAAAGUAAAAGAGAAAUGUGCAACUAAGAAACAGUCCAGAUUUGUCUUCAGAAAUUCCCUUCUGGAUAGUCUCUCUUAAUAACUCUAAAGUACCAUGACCACCAGGAAAGUGACACUGGGUUUGUCACUGGGCGCUGGUUUUUUUUAAAGACACAGUUCAGAAAAUCUUUGGGGGAAUAUCUAAAAGUUUCAGCAAGUUUCAUAUAAAGCAGAGGUGGAGCUCCUAUGGCAGAAACUCCCUGACCUAUUAAGUUGUCUUCAAAAUUUACAGGAACUAACCUGAAAAGCCACAUUCCUCCCCAAAACUAUAUGGAAACCAUUUGCUAGGCAUUCAGGACACCUUCCAUGUGGUUAUUGACAUAUGAACAAGCUGGAACAGAUACCAAUGACGUCCUUAUUGUUGCAUUUUACAAGCUGCAUUGUUCACAGUCUUGAGGAGAGAGUCAUUUGCAGCCAUUCCACAUGGUUUGCUGACACUUCCAGCCAGUCACAGUGAGGAUGAGCACAGGAAAGCCAUUGGGAUCGCAGUAGCCAGCAUAUUCUGCAACAGGUCAUUCUGAUCUUCCAUCAUAAUGUUCAGGUGUUGUAUUUUACACUAUUUAGAAGACUCCCAUUGGAUUGGACUGGAAGGAAAUCAAGCACCCUGCAUGAGCAUGUGUGAGCUGUGUUUCAACAAAUACUUUAAUUUCCAUAAACAAGGGCAGUUGGAAAUCUGGCCCAUUACUUGUCUGCCUUUGUUUCCCACCUGUAGGGUAGACAUGGCAGCACAGUCUGGCUCAUGGAGGUGUCUGGGGAGAGAAACAUAACCACCACACAAGAGCAGCUCAGUUAAAACAAGUCAGAAGAGUAAAACAAUUCAGUAUCCACAGCCAGGUCCCAACAGGAUUUCUCCAUCACCUUGUGCAGGGAGCUUUUCAGUUUUCUAACAAUCAAUAAAAAUGAGAUUAUACUAUAAAAAAGCUUGCCUUUCAUACUGAUAUCCACAUGGUCAUUGAACACAUUUUCCCUAGCUGGUCUAUUAUCUGUGUUUUCCUCAUGGAAAAUUCAAUAUUUUCAUUUUAACUUGCAAAAUCAUAUUUCCAUCAAACUUUGUUUAGAUUAUUAUAGAGUCUAACUGUACUUAAUGCUAUUGGAGUCAUUUUGGUAAACCAGACUUUACGGCUAUUUUCAUGAGAUCCCAAGUAACAUCAGUCCAGGCUUUUGGAGAGAAAUGGCUUUCACGUCUGCCAGUUAAUUUGUGAAAAGAUACUACAAGGGUAUUCUCUGUCCAUUCUGUAUUUCUUCCCCAAUAAAACUACAAAGUAUUCUAUUAAUUUCAAUUCUGAAAAUGUUCUAAUAUCUGUUCCCUCUUGUCCAACAGUGCUUUAGGUAAAGUACAAGAUACGAUACCUUUUUAGCAGAAAAGGGAAUAGCUCAAAAACACUGAUAUUUUUGGAGUAUUUCCAGCUGAUCUGUUGAUCUGUCCUUUGACAGUUGGCUUUAUUUAUUCUCUGUGCAGUAUGUUUGAAGUAUUUUAUUGCUUCCAUAGUGUUAGCAGAGAUCUUUGGAGAAAAGAAGGCUUGAUGAGGAUAUUUUGAGUGUUUUGAGGUCUGUGUCCUGCAACGUGCUCUGCUCAGUGAAGUUUUCAUUGUAAAUCUUGAUGAUACAACCCCAUCCUCUAGAAAUGCAGAUUUCAAAGUUCCAUGACAGCACGACUUGCCUUCAGUAUUUCAGUGAGAAGUGUAUUAUCACUGAACAUCCUUGUCACACCCCAUGUGAAUUGCAAGAAGUGCUUCAGGCUGUGAUUUUUUUGACUGUUGCAAUAGUAAUCUCUGUAGUGCAGGUACUCUGUGGAGGGCACAGACAGGAUGUGGACAAGCCCCAGUUGUGUUUGUGAUUGGUACUGGAUUAAAAUAUCGGGAAAAUGUGAUAAUAAAUCUGACUCUUAGAAAAUCACAAACUAUACUUUAGAACUCUGUUCCCCUGGUGAGGGGCAAACCAAGUAAUGUAAUCAAGUAUUUGGUAAAAAAGAGUAAUAAUCACAUGUUCAACAGCUUGUGAAUCUUACUGGUUUGGCACCAUACUGAAAGAAAAUUCUUAAGUGCUGCAAAAACUGUUGGGCUUCAAACCUUUAAAACUUUUCCCAUAAAUUACAGCUCCAUUAUAAUCUAGAUUUAUAUUAAUGUUGUUCUAGUGCUUUAGAAAACUACCUGUCCUGAAAUGAAACACGUGAAAUUAAUCUACUCCAAUUCCUUUUGCAUUAUUCUCUUUACAAGCUGGAAAUCUAACUUAUCUGUAUCUGAUCAAGUGCCAAUAAUGUGAGCGUUUAAGUAAAAACUCACUCAAAUUCCUGACAUGGUUUAGUUUCAAGAUAACCAAGUACAGAUUUCCAGGGUAUUCUGUAAUUGAUUUUGUAUUUGGUGUCUGUUUAUGAGAUUUUUGUCAUACGAGAGUGGCCAAGGUCAUUCUGAAUUUGGCUUUGUACCCAAAUUACUGGUGUUGGUAUUUGCUUCCUAGUCAUUCUCUUCCAGCUAUGGGAAGGUUACUGACGGCCGACCGACAAAAACUGGGAUAUGGUAACCUGCACACAAGAACAUUCUGAUAUCUUCGUUCUGGUGAAGUGAGGAGUCUGGAAUUAAAUUCAUGUAACACACACCAGGGCAUAGGACAGCAUUCAGUCUUGUGCGUUGGUGCUUACCGCACCUUCCAGUUAAAGGAUCUCCCUGCUCAACACUGUGGAAAGACUCCCACAGCAGCCUGCUGGGCAGAUAUUUUUUCCUCUCCAGGGAGUAUAGAGGUGACAUGUCCAUGUUAAGACCAAAAGUGCAAGUCCUGCUCGGAGACUGGAACUGUUAUGAUUGCUGGAUGAGGAUUUUGCUGCACCACUCAGCCCUACCAGUGGUGGCCUGCAUUCUGCACUCUGGUUGGGUGCUACGUACAGCAUGUCUUUGGGUGAGUGAUUCACUUACUCCUUGCAGUCUUCAGCUAACCCCACAGGAGCACAGCUGUUUGUACUUAUAUCUGUUGUUUUCUUUUUCUUUGGGAUCAACUUUUGAAACAAAAUUUGCCUUGAGAAGCAGAGGGUAAUGUGGGAGCUUUUCUGGUUCUGCACUUACUGGAAUGGGUACAAUCAUUCAUAUUUUGUCCAAAACUCAGUGAAAAAGCUGAAUGUUUUCUAGACAGCUGCCAUGUCUAAUCACACUUAUUUGUGUCUAAGUUUUGACAGCUGAUUUCCAUUUCUGGGGCGCUUUCAUGCCAUCUUAUGGACACAACAUUGUUUUAAAAUUGUGGACAUGGACAGAAAUAUUGCUUAAAAUGAGACUGAUUCUGAAACAAGGUAGCCCUAUUUAGGGUUAAUUAUGUUAAGUUAAUGUUAUGUUAAUUAUGACCCCUUGAGGGGACUUGGCAUAUGAAGCCCUCAGAAUAUUUACCAAAUUGGGAUGUUAGCCCA